rnacentral:rRNA from 1 species
AUUGAACGCUGGCGGCACGCCUAACACAUGCAAGUCGAGCGGCAGCGAGACUAGUAGCAAUACUGGUUGUCGGCGAGCGGCGGACGGGUGAGUAACACGUAGGAAUCUGCCCUUAAGCGGGGGAUAACCAAGGGAAACUUUGGCUAAUACCGCAUAAUCUCGAGAGAGCAAAGAUGCCCGCAAGGGUGGCACUUGAGGAGGAGCCUGCGUCCGAUUAGCUAGUUGGCGGGGUAAUGGCCUACCAAGGCGAUGAUCGGUAACUGGUCUGAGAGGACGACCAGUCACACUGGGACUGAGCCACGGCCCAGACUCCUACGGGAGGCAGCAGUGGGGAAUAUUGGACAAUGGGGGCAACCCUGAUCCAGCGAUGCCGCGUGAGUGAAGAAGGCCUUCGGGUCGUAAAGCUCUUUAGGUUGGGAAGAAGGGUAUUGGCUGAAUAAUCCAGUACUUUGACGGUACCGACAGAAUAAGCACCGGCAAACUCUGUGCCAGCAGCCGCUGUAAUAC